UAACUUGAGAGUUUGAUCCUGGCUCAGAACGAACGCUGGCGGCAUGCUUAACACAUGCAAGUCGAACGAAGGCCCGGUGCUUGCACCGGAUACCUUAGUGGCGAACGGGUGAGUAUCGCGUGGGAACCUGCCCAGGAGCGGGGAAUAACCACUGGAAACGGUGGCUAAUACCGCAUACGCCCUCCGGGGGAAAGGCUUCGGCCACUCUUGGAUGGUCCCGCGUCUGAUUAGCUUGUUGGUAGGGU
rnacentral:rRNA from 1 species